rnacentral:lncRNA from 1 species
CCUCAAUAACAGAACCUCUACAGUCAUGAGACGAGAAGCCAGAGAUGACAGACAUUCGCACUGAGCAGGAUCCAAGGUAUCCAAGGAGGACAUUGCUAUGUCAGAAGUAACAGGUUCUGCCUGGGCGAAUGUUGUGCAAUUAACCAUUUUGGGUACGGGAAGCGAUGCGUCUACACUCUCCCUCACGGUCGUCCUCAUCACUCGUCUCACACUCUGUAAUAAAAGAACUCAUAAAUAAUAACAUAUU